GACUGUCGGAUCUUUUAUGCAGACAGGAGUGUGCCUUUCCAAAUCAUGUCCAAUCAACUGCAUUUACCCCACGUGGACUCCACUGAAGCUGAAGAAACAUCUCAAGGAUGAUCAGUGAAAACAGGAUGCACCUCAGAUCAAUUUUGAGCUUCAUGGCAAAGGCUGUGAAUACUUAUG